ACCACUGGAGCCCAUUAAACGACACUUUCGUAUAAAUGUGGACUCUAGCAUCCAAACAUAUAGCUACCAUGAUGAAUCACCUUACGAAAAUCGCAAUUGCCGCAACAAAAUAGUUGUGGAAAGCAAUGCGAGUUGAUAUCACGUGACUUGAAUUGACUUGACCUGCUGUGGCGUGACGGGCAGUGGGAAGUUUAAUUAUAACCACCCGGUACAGCAAUAACAAUGAGACAUGAUAAUGGGAGAGAUUAUUCAGAUUACCCAGCAAUCAACAGACGCAUAUCCAUGAAGACCCAUGGUCUCUCCAAGACUCUGAGUAACAUCAGCUGGAAGUGUCUCUCCCUUUUGGAGUGAGUAAGCUGCACACCAUAGACAGUGUCUCCUACAUUCAUCUGAAAUGAAAAUACAGGACCAAGAAGUGCAGCAUCACAACAACUCUUCCUGUUAUCACACUCAUCAGUGAGAAAAGAACCAGUGGAUUUAUUUUAAAGACAAUGAAUUACUGAUUUAUAAGAAAAAUGUGAGUGGCUGAUGUCUGUACAUAGGAUUUAUUUAAAUAAGUUAAUAUGAAGGGUAUUUUUAACAGCAAUAAA